rnacentral:pre_miRNA from 1 species
UUUUCAGUACGAGUAUGUCCCAGGCAAUGUUGGGGACAUACUUAUACUAAAA